ensembl:piRNA 21ur-11391 ncRNA
UUGGUUUGUCAUUAAUGUAGA